GAGGAUGAAGUCCGACUCCCGUAGGAGUCUGGACGGAGUCUACCUGUAGUCGAAGUCGUCCUGCUGUUGAAGUCGAGGAUGAAGUUCGGCUCCCGUAGGAGUCCGGGCGGAGUCUACCUACAGUCGAAGUCGCCCUGCUGUUAAAAUCGAGGACGAAGUUCGGCUUCCGUAGGAGUCCGAACGGAGUCUACCUGCGGUCGAAGUCGCCCUGCUAUUGAAGUCGAGGAUGAAGUCUGGCUCUCGUAGGAGUUCGGACGGAGUCUACCUGCGAUCGAAGUCACCCUGC
rnacentral:lncRNA from 1 species